CAGCCGCCGCGGUAAUACGUAGGGUGCAAGCGUUAAUCGGAAUUACUGGGCGUAAAGCGUGCGCAGGCGGUUUGUUAAGACAGAUGUGAAAUCCCCGGGCUCAACCUGGGAACUGCAUUUGUGACUGGCAAGCUAGAGUAUGGCAGAGGGGGGUGGAAUUCCGCGUGUAGCAGUGAAAUGCGUAGAUAUGCGGAGGAACACCGAUGGCGAAGGCAGCCCCCUGGGCCAAUACUGACGCUCAUGCACGAAAGCGUGGGGAGCAAACAGGAUUAGAUACCCCGGUAGUCCCUGUCUCUUAUAC
rnacentral:rRNA from 1 species